AAUCUCACGGCUUAACUGUGAGCGUGCGGGCGAUACGGGCAGACUUGAGUACUGCAGGGGAGACUGGAAUUCCUGGUGUAGCGGUGGAAUGCGCAGAUAUCAGGAGGAACACCGGUGGCGAAGGCGGGUCUCUGGGCAGUAACUGACGCUGAGGAGCGAAAGCGUGGGGAGCGAACAGGAUUAGAUACCCUGGUAGUCCACGCCGUAAACGGUGGGUACUAGGUGUGGGUUUCCUUCCUUGGGAUCCGUGCCGUAGCUAACGCAUUAAGUACCCCGCCUGGGGAGUACGGCCGCAAGGCUAAAACUCAAAGAAAUUGACGGGGGCCCGCACAAGCGGCGGAGCAUGUGGAUUAAUUCGAUGCAACGCGAAGAACCUUACCUGGGUUUGACAUGCACAGGACGCCGGCAGAGAUGUCGGUUCCCUUGUGGCCUGUGUGCAGGUGGUGCAUGGCUGUCGUCAGCUCGUGUCGUGAGAUGUUGGGUUAAGUCCCGCAACGAGCGCAACCCUUGUCUCAUGUUGCCAGCGGGUAAUGCCGGGGACUCGUGAGAGACUGCCGGGGUCAACUCGGAGGAAGGUGGGGAUGACGUCAAGUCAUCAUGCCCCUUAUGUCCAGGGCUUCACACAUGCUACAAUGGCCGGUACAA
rnacentral:rRNA from 1 species